UAUCAAUCUUUGGAGCCUCCCAUUCACCAUCCUCCUCAUCAUCCCAAUCUUCAGGUUUGGAUGCCUCGGGAUCUUCAAUUUCCUCAGGCUCAUCAUCCAACCAUCCUUCAGGUUUUGUAGCUUCCUCAUCUUCAAUUUCCAUAGGUGCAUCCUCGUCCCAAUCAUCUGGUUUUGUGGCAUCUGGAUCUGGAAUCUUAGCUCUCUCAUCCCAAUCCUCAGGCUUCUUAUCAUCUGGAUCAGGGAUAGUCUUGGCUGGAAUUAGUGCUGGCUCAAAGUCAUCAGCUGAUAGAAUGUUGACCUUUUUCUUUUCUUCUCCAUCAACCAAGAUCCUUAUCUCGUUAUCAGGCUUCAAAAUGGCA
rnacentral:lncRNA from 1 species